AAUGCAUGAAUUUCAGGCAACUCUGGGAUGUCCCAAGGUGAAGUGGGAUUGAUGAGAGAGGGGGUAAUUCGGGCAUUCCACAAUACGAUUGGAUUGUAUUCUCUAUGGGAUGGGUUCUAAAUUGAGAUUCUAAGGAAGAAGUUGACAUGAUUCUCUUUUCACGUUAGAAAGAUCACUGUGUGUAGGAUGGAUUGAAGGAGACUAGCUUGAUUCAGGCCAUGAAGUUAUGCUACUGAAACCAUCUGAGCAAGAGGUGCUGAUACGUCGAGGAUGUUGGCAAGAUGGUGCAGUGGUUAAGCAUGUGGUCAACUCCUUACCAUAAAGAAACAAAGAAUCAGAGAUCUGCACAAUAGUUUACCAUCUGAGUUCAUAGGUCCUGCAAACAGCUGGUGCAGGAAAAAGUCAACUGCUUAAGAUAAAUCAUCAAAAAGGUACCUUAUAGCAUAAGCACUAUAUGGAAACUAGAAGAAAGGAACAAACAACAACAACAAAAGAAUGGAACAGAGAAAACACAUGGCAUAUAAGGAACACUCAUCAGAAAAACAUAGCU